rnacentral:rRNA from 1 species
UCGGGAAUUUUGGGCUAUGGGCGAAAGCCUGACCCAGCAACGCCGCGUGAAGGAUGAAAUCCUUCGGGAUGUAAACUUCGCAAGAACGGGAAGAAUAAGUGAGAGCUAACAUCUCUUACGAUGACGGUACUGUUUGUAAGCUCCGGCUAACUCCGUGCCAGCAGCCGCGGUAAUACGGGGGGAGCAAGCGUUGUUCGGAUUUACUGGGCGUAAAGGGCGCGUAGGCGGCCACCGCAAGUCACUUGUGAAAUCUCCGGGCUUAACCCGGAAAGGUCAACUGAUACUGCGGGGCUAGAGUGCAGAAGGGGCAACCGGAAUUCUCGGUGUAGCGGUGAAAUGCGUAGAUAUCGAGAGGAACACCUGCGGCGAAGGCGGUUCUCUGGGCCUGACCUGACGCUGAGGAGCGAAAGCGUGGGGAGCGAAC